CUCUACGGUUGUAGCUCUCAGUGCGGGGAGUGCAGCUGUAUGAGAGCACAAUUGCUAGAGCCUGUACUCGGGGAUCGUCCGUCUGUCUGCUGACCUGGAAGCUGCUUCAUCAUUAAUAUCUGGCCGGAGCUGAGCCAUAUUGUGGGACCAAGACCAUCUUCAGCAUUCCAACCUGUAAAACUGACAAUCACAACUGCUGUCACCACUGCCACUGCCCACUGCACUCGACUCUCACCUGUCUAACUUCACCAACAUUACUUCUCCAAUGCUGACAUCCCCACCCAGAACACCUACAGUGAGAAAUUGUUUUGUGAAGAUUCUUUUGUGUAUUGCAAUGUGUCUUGACAGGAUAACUGUAGCUUGGUUGAAUGUUCAGCUAAUUUUCUGGAUUUUUGAUUAGUUGUUACUUGUUAUUUAUUCUGAUGAUUUUUAUGGAGAAUGUCAUGUUUAGCAUGUGGGCAAGAUGGUUGAUGACCCAUAUGUUUUACUAGUUGGAUGGAAAAACAUCCGUUUCAGUAUUUUCUUGUCUUCAACCUGGCUUUUCUAGUCUCUAUGGCUAGUUAUAGGGAAAUAUUUUCACAACAGAUCUCUUUAUAUAUGUGUGUGUUAUUAUGACUGUUUUGUUCUACUUGUGCA